rfam:Canis lupus familiaris chromosome 14, whole genome shotgun sequence.
AUACUUACCUGGCGGGGGAGACACCAUGAUCCUGCAGGUGGUUCUCCCGGGGCAAGGCUCGGCCAUUGCACGCGGGCCGUGCUGACCUCUGCGAUUUCCCCAAACGCGGGAAACUCGACUGCGCAAUUUGUGGUAGUGGGGGCCUGUGCUCGCGCUCGCCCCCG